rnacentral:rRNA from 1 species
CGGUCAGUUCAGAGGGUUCGAUUCUGGCUCAGGAUGAACGCUAGCGGCAGGCUUAACACAUGCAAGUCGAGGGGCAGCGUGGAGUAGCAAUACUCUGACGGCGACCGGCGAAAGGGUGAGUAACGCGUGAGCAACAUGCCCGGUACCGGGGGAUAGUCGAUGGAAACGUCGUGUAAUACCCCGUAACAACAGAGGCCGCAUGACCUUUGUUUAAGAGAUUUAUCGCUACCGGAUUGGCUCGCGUCCCAUUAGGCAGUUGGCGGGGUAACGGCCCACCAAACCGACGAUGGGUAGGGGUUCUGAGAGGAAGGUCCCCCCACAUUGGAACUGAGACACGGUCCAGACUCCUACGGGAGGCAGCAGUGAGGAAUAUUGGACAAUGGCCGAGAGGCUGAUCCAGCCAUGCCGCGUGCGGGAGGAACCGGCCCUAUGGGUUGUAAACCGCUUUUGUUGGAGAGCAAUAAGGUCCACGUGUGGAUCGAUGAGAGUAUCCAGCGAAUAAGCAUCGGCUAACUCCGUGCCAGCCGCUGC